CAGAUAGAUUACGAGAGCGGUCUCUAUAGUGAGCCAUGGCGACUUCAAUUUCGUCAUCUUUUUUCUUCUGAGCCUUAUUCCGAUAAGUAAAUUUAGUAUAGCCAAUAUAGAAAGGGAAAUCGAGAUCGUCAUAGAUAGAUAAAUCACUUUCCAUUAGUUCUUCAUGGCGUAUCGACUCCCAAGAGGUUUCUUCUUUUGAUUUCAUCUUCUUCCUCGGUGGUGGACUUGUUAAGCGUCUCUCUCUCAUAAAAAAGAGGGAUAAGAAACCUAAUAAUUUGGAAUUCAAC
rnacentral:lncRNA from 1 species